rnacentral:rRNA from 1 species
GCAAGUCGAGCGGCAGCGCGGGGGCAACCCUGGCGGCGAGCGGCGAACGGGUGAGUAACACAUCGGAACGUACCCAGUUGUGGGGGAUAGCCCGGCGAAAGCCGGAUUAAUACCGCAUACGACCUGAGGGUGAAAGUGGGGGAUCGCAAGACCUCACGCAGUUGGAGCGGCCGAUGGCGGAUUAGCUAGUUGGUGAGGUAAAGGCUCACCAAGGCGACGAUCCGUAGCUGGUCUGAGAGGACGACCAGCCACACUGGAACUGAGACACGGUCCAGACUCCUACGGGAGGCAGCAGUGGGGAAUUUUGGACAAUGGGGGCAACCCUGAUCCAGCCAUUCCGCGUGAGUGAAGAAGGCCUUCGGGUUGUAAAGCUCUUUCGGCAGGAACGAAACGGUGGAGGCUAAUACCUUUCAUCAAUGACGGUACCUGAAGAAGACCCGGGCUUAACCUGGGAACUGCGUUUGUGACUGCAUAACUCGAGUGUGGCAGAGGGGGGUGGAAUUCCACGUGUAGCAGUGAAAUGCGUAGAGAUGUGGAGGAACACCGAUGGCGAAGGCAGCCCCCUGGGUUAACACUGACGCUCAUGCACGAAAGCGUGGGGAGCAAACAGGAUUAGAUACCCUGGUAGUCCACGCCCUAAACGAUGCGAACUAGGUGUUGGAGAAGGAGACUUCUUUAGUACCGUAGCUAACGCGUGAAGUUCGCCGCCUGGGGAGUACGGUCGCAAGAUUAAAACUCAAAGGAAUUGACGGGGACCCGCACAAGCGGUGGAUGAUGUGGAUUAAUUCGAUGCAACGCGAAAAACCUUACCUACCCUUGACAUGCCAGGAACCCUGCUGAGAGGUGGGGGUGCCCGAAAGGGAGCCUGGACACAGGUGCUGCAUGGCUGUC